rnacentral:rRNA from 1 species
AGUGAACGCUGGCGGUAGGCCUAACACAUGCCAGUCGAACGGCAGCACAGUAAGAGCUUGCUCUUACGGGUGGCGAGUGGCGGACGGGUGAGGAAUACAUCGGAAUCUACUUUUUCGUGGGGGAUAACGUAGGGAAACUUACGCUAAUACCGCAUACGACCUACGGGUGAAAGCAGGGGAUCUUCGGACCUUGCGCGAUUGAAUGAGCCGAUGUCGGAUUAGCUAGUUGGCGGGGUAAAGGCCCACCAAGGCGACGAUCCGUAGCUGGUCUGAGAGGAUGAUCAGCCACACUGGAACUGAGACACGGUCCAGACUCCUACGGGAGGCAGCAGUGGGGAAUAUUGGACAAUGGGCGCAAGCCUGAUCCAGCCAUACCGCGUGGGUGAAGAAGGCCUCCGGGUUGUAAAGCCCUUUUGUUGGGAAAGAAAAGCAGCAGGUUAAUACCCCGCUGUUCUGACGGUACCCAAAGAAUAAGCACCGGCUAACUUCGUG